rnacentral:misc_RNA from 1 species
GAAAUGCGAUAAGUAGUGUGAAUUGCAUAAUUCAGUGAAUCAUCGAAUCUUUGAACGCACAUUGCGCCCUUUGGUAUUCCUUAGGGCAUGCCUGUUCGAGCGUCAUCUAAACCUUCAAGCCCUGCUUGGUGUUGGGUGCCUGUCCCGCCUCCGCGCGCGGACUCACCUCAAAUCCAUUGGCGGCCCCCGCGUCGGCCACGAGCGCAGCAGAAACGCGAACUCGUGAGCCCGUCCGGGCGGCUCCCAGAAGCUACACCCACCCAGUUUGACCUCGGAUCAGGUAGGGAUACCCGCUGAACUUAAGC